GAGCUUUCUUCAGAGAUAGAGAGAAGAAACUUUAGUAUCACUUGGCCGGCAGUUUAGUCUUGGCGGCCUCAGAUGGCGGCGCUGAGUCCCUGAACUCG
rnacentral:lncRNA from 1 species